ensembl:lncRNA
GACCUCAGAAUCUGAGAUGGUUUUACAGCGUUGUGACUUGUCCCCUUUUGGGCCAAAAAGUCCGUGUCUUUUUGCUCUUGCAUUGGUCAUUAGAUGUGAAUUGCCCCUGGGAAAGGGUGUGACCUUGGGCAAACAAGGGUGUGACCUAGCUCUCUGCAGCUGAGGCAGUCCUUCAAAGAUCUGCCCCUUGAGGGCUGUCCACUGAAGAAUUCCCAUCAGUUGAGGCAAGAAGUACUUCCUUGAAGAGGGAUCUGGGUGUAUCAUCUAUGGUACGUCUUAUGUACCAAAAGGAAGAUCUUAUAUUCCAUCUAUGUACCAUCUUCAGUUCAGUUCAGUUCGGUCACUCAGUCGUGUCCAGCCUUUGAGACCCCAUGGACUGCAGUAUGCCACGCUUCCCUGUCCAUCACAAACUCCCGGAGCUUACUCAAACUCAUGAUGGACUGGUUGGAUCUCCUUGCAGUCCACAGGACUCUCAAAAGUCUUCUCCAACAUCACAUCUUCCUUAGAUGUACUCAUAUAAGGAAGAGUAAAAGAGCAUUGCAAGUUUAGAAUCCAGAAAGUAAUUGCCUUUUUUUCUUAUUAUGGGGGCAUAAGGUUAUAAUGUUAGACUGAUGGCAAAAGAUGAUGUUGGUGAGAUGAGUAGAAGCCAGAUACUGAUGAUAAGUUAUGCAGUUUCAACAAGCAGAGAGACAAGCAAAUGUAAAUUCCUGAAACAAGAAUAAAAUUUUCAUAUAUUAGGGAAAGAAAGAAGGUACAUUUAGGCAAAGAUGAUGACAUUAGAGCAGUGGCAGUGGGGAUAGAGGAGAGGUAAUUGAAUCAAGACAUGGUAAGCAAGUAGAAAUUGAAGAAUAUGUUGAUUAAUUGAAUGCAUAUGUUUUGGGAGAUUGAUAAGGAGAAAGGAGUUCUUGAGAAUGAUGCAUGGUUUUUAACUGGAACAUUAGGCAGUGAAUGGUUCUAUUAACCAAGAUAGGCAAAGGGGAAGAACAGAUCUGAAUAGGGGGUGAAGGAGGUACUGAGCCUAGGGGUAGACAGGUAGAUUUGAAGUUAUCUGUUAUAACUUGAGGUUACUCAUGGGAGCUGUUCUGU